UACGUAGGGUGCAAGCGUUGUCCGGAAUUAUUGGGCGUAAAGAGCUCGUAGGCGGUUUGUCGCGUCUGCUGUGAAAUCUGGGGGCUCAACCCCCAGCCUGCAGUGGGUACGGGCAGACUAGAGUGCGGUAGGGGAGAUUGGAAUUCCUGGUGUAGCGGUGGAAUGCGCAGAUAAUCAGGAGGAACACCAAUGGCGAAGGCAGAUCUCUGGGCCGUAACUGACGCUGAGGACGAAAGCGUGGGGAGCAAACAGG
rnacentral:rRNA from 1 species